GAUGAACGCUAGCGAUAGGCCUAACACAUGCAAGUCGAGGGGCAUCACAUGAAGUAGCAAUACGGAUGGUGGCGACCGGCGCACGGGUGAGUAACACGUAUGCAACCUGCCUUCAACAAGGGGAUAACCCGUUGAAAGACGGACUAAUACCCUAUAACACAGGGGUCCCGCAUGGGAAUAUUUGUUAAAGGACAACCGGUUGAAGAUGGGCAUGCGUUCCAUUAGCUAGUUGGCGGGGUAACGGCCCACCAAGGCAACGAUGGAUAGGGGAACUGAGAGGUUUAUCCCCCACACUGGUACUGAGACACGGACCAGACUCCUACGGGAGGCAGCAGUGAGGAAUAUUGGUCAAUGGACGCAAGUCUGAACCAGCCACGUCGCGUGAAGGAAGACGGCCCUACGGGUUGUAAACUUCUUUUAUACGGGAAUAAAGUGCCCCACGCGUGGGGUUUUGCAUGUACCGUAUGAAUAAGGAUCGGCUAACUCCGUGCCA
rnacentral:rRNA from 1 species